CAGUGGCGGGAGGAGGAGGCGCGGGGGUGAAGGCGCUCGAGCAGCGGCGCGCGGCGACCCGCGCACGUGCCCGCCCCCGCGCGGCGCGAGGGGAAGGCGGAGGCGGGGCCGGGGCAGUGCCCGCCGCGCGAGGGGCGGCGGCACCCGCGGGGCGGCCCCGGCGCGGCCACCGGCGAGCGGGCGGCCGAGGGCGCGGAGCGGCGAGCCGGCAUCCCGCGCAGCCCGCCCGGCGUGCCCGCCGCGAUGGAGCAGGACAAGUACCUGCCCGAGCUGAUGGCCGAGAAGGACAGCCUGGAUCCCUGCUUUGUUCACGCGAUGCGCCUCCUGGAAGACGAAAUGGAAAGAUUUCAGGGUUCAGAAGGCAAGAAGGAAGAUGAAGAAAAGAAAUAUCUUGAUGUUAUCAGCAACAAAAACAUAAAGCUGUCAGAGAGAGUUCUGAUCCCUGUCAAACAAUAUCCAAAGUUCAAUUUUGUUGGGAAAUUGCUUGGACCAAGAGGAAACUCUUUAAAGAGGUUACAAGAAGAAACAGGUGCAAAAAUGUCCAUCCUGGGAAAAGGAUCCAUGAGGGAUAAAGCUAAGGAGGAAGAACUAAGGAAAAGUGGAGAAGCCAAAUACGCACACUUGAGUGAUGAGCUCCAUGUAUUAAUUGAAGUGUUUGCUCCACCUGGAGAGGCGUAUUCUCGUAUGAGUCAUGCCUUGGAAGAAAUAAAAAAAUUCCUGGUUCCUGAUUAUAAUGAUGAAAUUCGCCAGGAGCAACUGAGAGAACUUUCGUAUCUGAACGGUUCUGAGGAUUCAUCACGUGGACGGGGCAUUCGAGGAAGAGGGAUCCGUGUGCCACCUGCAGCUCCUUCAAGGGGACGUGGGGGUGCCAUUCCUCCCCCGCUGCCUGGACGAGGUGCCCAAGCGCCCCGAGGAGCGCCGGUGACACGCGGAGCGCUCCCUGUGCCGCCGGUGGCCAGGGGUGUCCCCACGCCUCGAGCCCGGGGCGCCCCGUCCGUGCCGGGCUACAGACCACCCCCGCCGCCCGCGCACGAGGCCUACGACGACUAUGGAUACGAUGAUGGAUAUGGGGGUGAAUAUGAUGAUCCAAGCUAUGAGGCAUAUGAUAACAGUUAUGCCACCCAAACACAAAGUGUGCCUGAAUAUUAUGACUAUGAUCACGGAACAAGUGAAGAGGCUUAUGACAGCUACGCACAAGAAGAAUGGGCCACGACCCGUUCCAGCCUAAAGGCACCACCUCCAAGGUCAGCCAGAGGGGGAUACAGGGAACACCCCUAUGGUAGAUAUUGAAGGUCCUCCUCAUCUGUGACCUCAUCUCAAAGACAAUUAAUAGCCUGUGGUCUCCACAUAAACAGCAACAAGACAAGGACUCACAGUCACUGGACAGCUAAGCAGCAGAUCUGCUGGGAAGUGGUCAGUUCAGUUGUGCUGUCAUCACUUGGUGCCUGCCGGACUUUACCAGGCAAUUGGGAUGAAGCCACAGCAGAAUGUGUGUGUAUAGGGACCCUACCUGCUGAAGAAGCCUAUUAUUAUUUUCUUCAUCCAUUUCCCUUAUAACCCUAUUUUUCUAUAGCUGCAUCACCUGUUGACAUGAUUUUUGGAGCCCUAGGGAAGUACUGUACCUUUUGAAUUGUGUUCAGGGAAUUGAGAGUGCUCAACAUCAUUUGCAAUAAAUCACUUGCUUCUGAAGGACAGCCUCGGGUUGGGACUCUCCACAGUCCUGAGUUCUGGACCUACCAUUACCACCCUCUCUAGGAUAUGCCACCACUCAGACAUACAGUGAUCUUCCAGUCUUUAAGGUACAGAGUACUUCAUUAUGUGCACGAACAGAAAUGCUUAAAUGGAUGAAGCAGCUAUUUACGUCUGAUAGGAGCUAAGUGGGACAUUAAAUUAAUGCCAAACAAAUCUCUUUCGUCGAAUUUUUACUUGUCCUAUAUCCCAGAAAUACUUUCUGUAAUAUUUUGUUAUGUUUAGCAUUUUUGAACUGUUGAAAAUCAUUCAGCUCAUCCCGGUAUCUGUGGAUUCAGCUGGAAGAAUGAGGUAAGGGUAACAUUACAAUGGCAAAUAAUUCACUUGGAGAAUACAAUGUAUAUGCUUCAGAGGUAGAGAUGCCUCAUAGAAUCCUGCAUGUGUCUGUCCUGUCAACAAAAAGGUAGGUAUUUCUAUCACAUGGAAAUUGUGUGGCACAACUAGUUCUCUGUGAGAACUGGAAAAAGGGACAGCAUGACUGGUUUUGUCAAGGGCAAAAGGAGAGUGAAGGGCAAUGCAACAAAAAAAAAAAAAUAUAUUUAGGCAUAUAAUUUAAAAGAUUUGAAUGAUCCUUAUCCAAGCAAAGGAUAGCUAAGAGUGAUAAAUGUAAUAACUGUGAAAAAUAAACACGAGAACUCAUUUAAGCUUUUUACUAAAACUGCAAAAGUUUGAUUUACCAUAAGCUAUAAAAGAUGUCAUUAAAUCAUUAGCCUUUACAAUUUGCAUAUUGCAGUUUGAGAUACCUCUUUCUCUCCCAGUACUCUGAUUGUGUACAACUCCAGGAAUUGAUACCUGUAAGCAAGUUCUAAUGUCAGACAGACAAAGAAAGUAAAAUAUAAAGAAAAGUGAUGUCUUACUACAGUGAGAUGUUCUGUUCACCUCAGUGGGUCUCAUCAUAGGUGUAUAGGUGGUAAGACCUGUGUAAAAUGAUGGUGUGCUAAAUAUGAGAGUACAGCAGACAGUUCAAUAAAUGGGCUACAUCAAGUCAGUUCGAAGGUGUUCUGUGGAAUAUCGACUAUGUACCAAUAAAAAUCUCCACUAUUUUUAUUAAUUCUAUUAAAGUAGCAUGCUACCUCCAAAUAUUUAUAGAGCUCAAGCAGACUCACUUCAGGACAAGCCCUUCAUACAUACCAGAGGGACCUUUCCUGAAAUGUAAACAGUUGGCAUCUGCUGAACCAUAAUCCCUAAAUCAGAAACACAAAUGUUUGGAUUAACAAAAAAUUGAAAGGUACAUUCUUUAUUGUUGACCUCCUGGUACAUAUUUUUUCACUUUCGGUGUUGUGUGCAUGACCAGCAUUCUUCAUUCAGGACUGGAAAUGCAGUGACUUUUUGGUAUAGUGACCACAAAGGACAGUGGUGAUUAAAUCCAGGCAAGCACAAACCCUCAGUGAUGCUCACUGACUUCAGAAGAUUUGAAAUCAAGCCUUCAGUUCAAUGGUACACAUGUGAUGCAGUAUGAAGCAACUGAGAUUUGAUACCCUUAAUCAGAUAAAUAAAAGGAUAUUUAUUUUACCCCUUUAAAAGAGUAUAUUGAUCUGACACAGGAAGAACUUGAGGAAAUAUAAAACACAAGGUUAUAAGGACCAUCAUUGAAAUCUAUUUGCUUUUACACAGAGAGAGUUUUAGCAUCCCACAGCACCAGAGACUGUGUUCAAUAAGUGUUAAGUGAAAACAUUUAACAGACCUGGAACUGCUGUCUGUCUUAUGUACAGUGCAUAUAUAUGUAAUAUAGAAUGAAUAUGUUCAGAAUAUUCCAUUGUACAAACUAAAGCUAUAAUAAUGAGCAAACUGUUUUAAUUGGAAUGCAGAGGGAAUUAAAUUUGAAAUUAUUUUCCAAAGCGGUUUAUUUUUGGAUAGUGUUUUUUUUCUUUAAGAGAUUAAAUACACAGCUAUUGAAAAGCACUGUAAAGUUGGAGAAGAAUGAGAAUGAAAUUGCAGGUGUUGGUGCUGAGAACCAGGGGUACAAGCAGCUUAGAAUUUCUGGUUGGUUCUGUGGUUUUAGGCUCUAUGGAUCCCAAUAGGACGUGCCAUGAUCAAGCUGGCGUUUCAUGGACUUCAGACUAGCUUUUCACAUACUUGUGGCAGGUACUCAGUGUACACUAGUUUUUUUCUUUUUGGAUUUCACAAAUCUAUUUGGCAGGGAAGUAAAUUCUAAGUAAGUUUCAGGGAAGACUGGAAUGGUCCACAUAAAAGAAGUUUGAUGCCUUGAAACUUCUACAAAACAAUAAAAAAUAAAAUUCGUAAAAUACCCCUAAGUGCAAUUUUAAUUGUUUCAGUAAGUUCUUUCAAGUUGUAUUUUCAUAUUAUUCAUUUCUGGACAGUAGACUUCAUUAAACUCUGUGAGAAAAAUGGAAGGCUUUCAAACAAUAUUGCAUAUUGAAUUUUAGGUCUGUGCAUUAGAAUUUUCAUAUGACUUCAAAAUUAUCAAAAUAAUUAUUUCUUGUCUAUGCAAACAUGAAGGGUUUGUCUUCCUUCCUACUCUGUUAUAACAAAUCCAAAAUUCUUUGCAGUAUAAAAACAUGUCCUGAAGCCUAUUGUCAAUAUUCACCUGUUUCCCUUUUCAUAAGAGAAUGUGAUUUUACCAGACAUCUAUCCAAUUACCAAAAAAAACUAUUCCGAUUUCUUAUUCUCAUAAUUAACUAUAUAUUAACAUAUAUAGUUAAUAUCUUAAGAGAAGAGACUCAGCUAUUAAUUUUUGAGAAAAUUGUACAACUUUUCAAAAACCCCAAAACUUUAAAAAGCAGAAAAGAAACCAGAAGGGAAAAAAAAAAAAAAAAAAAAAAAAAAAAAAAAAAAGGAAAAAUAUGAAAAACCUUAAUGUUACAAUCCAUUGAUAAAAUUAAAUUAGUUAUCAUGGGUUUGGCUUACUGAUUAAUUAUUUGGGGACACAAAAAAUGUUUAAUAAACACAAUGAGAUCUUCUGUCACAUAAAAUCUUAUCCUUUCUUCAAGGGCCUGUCAAGAAAACUAGGUUUACUACCAAUUUUAUUUUUCAAAGUAAAAGAUAGAACGUUCUGAAAAUCAAGCUGUCACUACUUAAUGCUGCAAAAUAACAUGUCCAUUUUACACACUUGUUCAAUUACACUUCACUUUUUCUCCUUCCUCAUUUCAAAUGAUGUUUGUUUAUUUGUUAUUCUCUGGGCCCUUUUUUCAGAGUCCCAAGGAAACAAAACAUAAAAUCAAUGAUGCCAAAUUUUGUGUAGGCUUAGUGUUGGGAUGAAAAAGGAAGGUGCCUGAUCCUGCUGUCAAUAAAAUGUAUUUGUGCAGUUCUGCACUUUGAAUAAGGUGAGUAACAGCAAUCUCAGAGAAGAGGAAGAGCCUUAUGGUCCUAUUGUAUGGGUGGCUGGUUUUAUAACAGCCCAAACCAAAACAUUCAUGAUCCUGAAAGAUUCAGAUUACCACACGUAGACAGGCAAAAGCCAUGUGCAGCACUGUGGAGUUCCAGUCUUCUUUCCAUGUACUGCCCUGCUAGGAAAGCAUGCCAAGGAUUGCAGUUGCACAAGGAGAAAUGUUUCCUCCAAGGAAUCUUUGGAUUCAGCAGGAAGUUCUCAUGAUUCCUGUAGUCACUUGAGGUUAGAUUAUGGAAAUUAGUUCAUACAUCUAGCCUUAGUGUCCCCAGUAAGAAUAUCCUCGAAGGCAACCACAAGCAGAAGGGGACAGCUGAUGCGCCACACCAUUAGUUCAAAUAUGUAGACACUCGAAAAGGUUGUAAAUUCACAUUUUGGUCACUUUGUGUGUGCCUGACUAAACACAUAUGCAUCCUUAGGGAUACUAGAUCUCUGAAAAGAUCUUAAAUUACUUUGGCUUUGCUACUUCCUUUUGAUAUUGAGCUGUCUGUAUGAAUUGAAAAUGAGAAAAUAGUAAAUACUGCAUCUAUUCAACAUAAACCCUUCCUGACUGAUGGUUGCCUUCUCCUGGGAUCCAGCAUUGUAGCAGAAAGCAACUGGUAUAACCUGUAGCUACAACUGAAUCCUGGAGUUCAGCUUCUUUUCCAGGGAAAUGUUCUUUUCCUUAAUACUGAUCUUCAGGCUCAGAAAAAAAAUGUGUCUGAGGAAAAGUUACACAUGGAACUUUAGGCUGUUGCUCCUCUGGAUGAUACUUACCUGAUUUUCCUACAGAGAAUCAUGUGAAUUUUUACCUGUCAUUGCAUCCCCAUGUUCAUCUCUUAAUAGUUGUCAGUAUGAGACGCACCACUUAAAAGAAAUCCACUGCCCAGACUGGGCAAUUUCCUUGUUACAACAAUUUUUUUUUCCUUAUUUCAUCUUGUGGUUUCAUAAGUGCUAAUAGAUUCUUACCCAGUGCUUUUUAAAAUGCUUACUGAUCCACACAGAUGGAAAAGGUAAACACCAGCUAAGCAAUUGGUCUGACAGAUAGUGCAGUCCCUCAGGAGGCAUUCAUAACAUCCACACCAACACUGAGUUAUUCUCUCUCAGGAGCACCAUUAGCAGUUAUUUCAUCACCACCGUGUCUGUAAUUCUGUAGCAUUAGUCCCAAGCUUGGCCAGUUCUCCUCAGCAGAGGUUAAACAUCCAGUUUAAAGUCCCAUUAAUAUGGACACUUACAGAUAAAAUAAUUAAACUGUGAACACAAGGGAGUAGUGUAUUGACUUAUUUUUAAUUGUAUAUAAAAGGACAGUUUGUGUCUAUUUUUUUAUUUAGAUUAAUAAUUAAUUUUGGUUUAAGUAUGUUUUGGUCCUGAGUUAUUCAGAAAAAUAAUAGUUUUAAGAAGGACACAGAGUCAUUAUAAAUGUAAGUUGGAUAUGAACUAUGAAUGGGACGUUAUUUGAUGACAAAUAUAAUCUUUGUAAGAGUAAAUAGGUAAAUAGCAUUCAGAAAUUGGCACUUUUUUCACAUUUGUCAAAUUUACUGGAAAGCCAUGCACCUUUGUGGUUUGUUGAAAAAGAUAUGGAAAGUCAAAAAUAGGUAUAGAAAAUAAUUCCGAAAAUAAAAAAUAAUACAGGAAAAUAUACCAAUAGUGAAAUACUAAAUAAAUUCUUAGCUAUUAAUUCAGUCAAGAAAAGACUGAGAAGUAACUUGACUACAGCCUUCAGGUACCUACAGGCAAAAAAAAUUCCUGACAGUGAAGAGCCCUCUAAUUUAGGAGGAAGGAAUGUGUAAUUAGCUGGAGCCAGGACUUCCAGUCUGUUCCCCCAUCACCAAAUUAAGAAAGAGACUUUCAACCAUUAGACCCAUCUGGGUCUUUUAAAAAGAUAUGCUACAUAUAAUUCAGAAGCUACAGAAGCUGAUAGAUAACAUUUGGGACCACGCUGGAGGUUAGACUAGACAAUAAUGCAUCAUUUCUUCUGCCCUUAAUAUCUAUUUCUGAAUCUAAAUAAAAAAUGAGUAAGGUUAACAGAAUCUGGUCCUCAGUCAUAUAUAUUUUAUCAUUUAAUUACAUUUCCAUUUGAGGAUUAUAAUUCAGUUCUCUUAUGACUUCAUCUCUGAAACUUUUCUACAGGAAGCCAGAAAUGGAGUAUUUCUUAUUCUCAUAAUUAAACUUUGAACCAAAUAAAAGUUCUUCAGCUUGUGACUCUGGAUUAGCAUGUGAAAACUUAAACAAAUAUAAUUUUAGCUUCUUUGUUAUGAAUGAACAGAGCAAUCAUAUAGCACAACAAAAUGUUAUUAUCUGUUAUAAUCCUUGAGCUAUACAUAUAUGUGCUUUUGUUAUGAUCAUGCUUGAUAUGCUAUGUCUUGACUAGAUCUUAUUUCAUUCUGUUUCAACAGGUUAGUGAGACUUUAAUCAAGAAAAAAAAAAAUCUAAUGAACAGUAAUUUGAAACACAGUAUUUGGAAAGGUCAGAAUGGUGCAUUACAUACUUAUUAUUCAAAAGAACAGAUGAGUUUAAUAUCCUGGCAGCAUUUUCCUGUGAAGAAGAUAUUAAACAAGAACUGAAAAUGGCACAAGGUUCUUGCUUCCUUUUCUAUGACAAGGAUUGUAACAAGGUGGUGGAACUACAGAGAAUAAAUCCCUUUCUGCUUUAAUGGUCCCAUGUGGAUUCUGUCUAGAUUUCAAAAACCUAAGCCAAGCAGAAAGCCAGAAUGCAUGCUAUUUGUUUAAAUUCCUUUACAACACAGUUUCCUGCUUAUAUGGCCCAUUUUCCAUUAAUAUUUUCUAGUCUUAAACAUGGGAAGAUAUGUUAAGAGAAGGUGCACAGUACACCGAGUUUUGCUGCAUAAUAUAUUGAACUGCAACAAAUAAUGUGCUGCAUCAGCACUGCUGAAAAUACAGAUUUUCCAGCUCUUCUUUGAAAAACUUAAGAACAGAGAUAAUGUAUUCCAACACACAACACAUUGCACGUGUCCUGCUUUGGGGAGUCUCUGAAGGCAUGGAACUCUUUGAACGCAAAGGAAUUAGUCUGUUUUAAUAUAAGAACCAUCAGAAUUUCUACUUUAAAUCAUUAUCUGCAUAAAGACUCUUCCUUUUGCUUAUAGGUUUAAGGGGGGAAAAAAAACUUUUCGAACUGGAUGUUGUAUUUUCUUGCUGAAAUACAGCAUCAGGGUCCUCAUGUAGAAUGUUAUUAUGGCAACUGAAAAAGUGUUGUGCUUAAAAAUGAAAAAAUUAAGUAUAUAGCAUGCCCUUGUAUUAUUUACUUAUAUGCAGUCCUCAUGAGAUAUGAUACAUGUGGUAUUACCCACAAAUGUAACAAGUUUGAUUUUUCAAGAUAUUAAUAAUUAUUAAAGCAAACAUUUUAUAUAUUCCAAAGAUAAAAAGCCUUGAAGCACUACUGGCUGAAGUAGACCUGCAUGGGUUUGCACAAGCUUACCAUGAGAAAUCAUGCUGAACCUCUUUUUCUCACACAUCUUGAAGAAUAACUUCUCUGUGGUACAUUACAUGCAGCAUCUUACAGAGAACAGCCAUUCUGCUUUAGUCAAGAGAGACAAAACAACCACAUCCAAAAUAUGUUUUCAGUAUCUGGAGUGAAUGUAUAAGUAUGUAUAUUUAUACUUGCUAGGGGUUUUUUUCUAUUUUAUUUUUAAGUGAUUUUAUUUUCCACUGGAGAUUGUAAAUGUAUUUUUCAUCCUUUGUUUUGCAGCUAUAAAGUAGGAUAGCUUUUCAAUGCAUGGGCAUGUGCAAUCUAUUUCAGAACUUCAAAGGAUUUGCAAAACUACAGACAAAAAUCCCUAAUGUGUGUUCAUUUCAUAAGUACCUACAGAAAUUAAUGUUUUCUGUGUGCCUAGAAAAAAUCCACUAGAUACAAGUUUCUGUCAAGUUCCUUGUUAUUAAGCUAAUAGUCCUUGAAACUGAAAUGACUACAAAUAGCUCUUUUCUUCUUCCUAACCAAACAUAUCGGCCAUCCAAUAUGCCACAUAUAGAACAUAAUAUAUAGAACUAUUUUUUCAGUUCCUAAUUAUUAUUCACAAUAUAAAUCUGUGAAUUUUUAUAUUUUAUAAUUUUAUAAUUACUAUGAAAUCUGACCUUAUAUCCUUUUGCUAUUAAAAAUAUAUAUGCAGUUGUACCCAUCUUUUAAAAGAUCAUGUUUAGGGCAUGACUGAAUAGAGAAUCCAGGGUUUUGAGGGGAGACCCAAUGUGAGUCAGUCCAAUGUAUCAGAUGAAGGAACUGGGUUUUGUUAUACAGUUUUUACUUCUUAUCAUUGUGCAAAAUGUGUUGCUGUGUCACACAGUAUUUAACAUGGAGAACACCUUGAAUACAUUGUGCAGCCUUAUUUAAUUUUUCUAUAAAAUGGAUUUUUUUCACUACACAAUUACAGUAAUUCUUUUUUGAAAAAUUACCAAAAUAAUCAAGUGCCUGUUAUGAACCAGUUCAAAAGCUUGAACUUGAAAAGACACCUCCUUUUAUUAAUUAUUUCCGAUAAAUAAUGUGGGGUUUGGGCAUUUCCAUGAAGACUUUCUUCAGUGGGAUGGUGAAUAUGAGUUUUGCAUAAAAUGUUGUGCCCAUGUACCCAUGAUAACAUCUCCAAGUACAAGGAUCAUAUAAUCCUCUCUGAUGUACAUUGUAUAAAUUUACAGCAGAACAAAAUUAACUAACAAAAUACACGAGGCUGAUGGAAAGGUGUCAUAUUGAAGCAAAAUCACAAAAGAGACACAUCAAAGCACAACAGGCUGUGUGCAGCACACACAUUCCCACAAAUAGGAUUUUGUGCCAGGAGUUGCUGGUUCAUUGUAAUCCCACUACAAGGACACUCAGACUCUGCGAAAUAUGGUUUAAAAUAACAUUUAUUGUAGAAGAAAGAAAAGAAAGAAGAAAAUAAGAAAGAAGAAAAAUAACAUUUAUUGUAGAAGAAAGAAAAAAGGUUAGCACAGAUUGUCUUGCAUCCGUUCAGGUGCUGGGAAGCCCAAGGUAUGCACCACUAAAUGAGCCUCCUUGCAGGUUCAGUAUCCUGUGCAGAUCCUAUUCAUGUAAAGGUGACACAACAUUUCAGUCUUUUGAGUUCCUGUAAAGUUUUCCAAAACAAAAUAAUUCCAUUAAUCAUUUUCACAGUCAAAGAAAAAAGGAUACACACAUGGGAAUUUGUUGCUGCUGCUUUAGAUGAAGGCAAGGAGUUGGUGUGACCCAGUGGCAGCUGCCCACAGGCUACUUCAUUACAGUCAGCCCGCCAAGCUUGUCCUGCGGGGAGAGGAUGUGCAGAGCACAGCACAGACCUGAGGUCAUGCUGUGUGCACAGCACAUUUUGUGUGCACAGCAUAUCAGUGCAGGCCUGUGCUUGUUUGGGACAAUGGCAUUGAGAGACACCAGCUUCCCUAGGAGCAAUGGUCUCCUUGUAAGGAUCUCAGCACAUGUGUGCAUGCAAACCUGGUGUGCAUCUGCAUAUAAAAAGCUGCUUUUGUUCUCUAAACUGAACUGGUAAACAGUAAAAGUAAAACUGGUAAACAGUAUUAAAGUCUGCAUACAUUAGAAACUGUACAUGUCCACUGCAAACACAUCUCUGUACAGGUCUCUGUUUAUCAAGACGACAUUGUGCCGAAGUCAGAUACAUUUACAAUUACAGAAUUUAUUGCCACUAAAAGGCUGUGUAAAUACAUUUUUGCAAGUGUGAUUUUUGUGCCUGCAGCUCAAAUUCUUGUUAUACUUGCAUUUGAAUUUGUUUUGUUUUGUCACACAAUGUUACUCGGUAUUAUAUGAAUAAUAAUCCAUGAGCUAUAAAACAGACUAAAGUCAAAGGAACAAAGUCAGUUGCAUUAUUAAAGAGAGAUUAAAAUAAUUUGACAUGAAAGGCAUUUUAGAGACAAUACAGCCUGUCUGACUUGCUGAUUUGCACAGAACCUAAUACAUCAUUCAGCUCUACUACCACCUGACAGCUGCUCAGCAUCUAAUGGGAAAUACGGGGGUGGUCACAGUCCAGUUCAUAGUGGACAGGUGCUGGCGUCACAAAAAUCAUCAUCACAACUGGCACUAAUUGGCACCUUUGUUGACAGUCUUGGCAGAGAGGCCACUGAUUGAAUCUGCACAGAGACUUCCUUGCAAACUCUGCUGGCUUGGGAUGCUGGGCUCAGCUCAUCCUUCCCUUAAACCAUUCUUAGUUUUGCACAUAUUUCCCAGGAACACAGUCAGGUCCUGACACUCUAUUUGCCUGAAAUAUCUGUGAGCAUGCACAUUCCCAUGGCAUCUCUCUGGAAGUGAUACCUCUGCACAGAGGGUUAGACACGCCUCAGGAACAGCAAAGCCUGCCAACUGAUGCUGGCCAGAAGAAGAGCCUGAGAGAUUUGGCAUGGGGUGGAAGACAAAAGGGGAUCAGACCAAAUGCUGUUCUAGAAGAGAAGCUACACAUGACCCACAUAGAGCUCCAGUUCCAUCCAAGAUUUUCUUAAUUUUAGUUUAUUUUAGAUACAACUGUAAUUCUGUGAAGUUCUAGUAGACACUUUUACUCUGUGCUUCAAUUUAUUCUCUUGUAUGAAGGGCCUAUUAUUUGUCUCACUCUCAGACAUAAUAUGAGGUUUUGCUAACUAAUCAGUGUCCUAAAGUAUUUAAACAUUUCUAAUGGAAAUCAAUAGACACAUUAAAUAUCAGGAUUCAAAUUUAUAGGAACUUUUGUUUCUUAGUAAUUUUAUUAAAUGAGCUGCAGGCAGUGACUAUUGAAUAUAUCAAUUUUGCAUUUAUACAUCAUUCACUCUGCUGUAAAUACAGUUGCAUUAAAUGCAGUUUCUUCUGGCACCUCAGCCUAUCUUUUCCAAAUCUGCAAUUAAAACUAAUUUUACUUUGGUACAUAGUAACCUGUACUGUUUGUAGGUUAAUUAUCCAUUUAUAUUUUUUUAGCUCUGUAGACAAGUAAGUCAGUAAUGUGACUACAAUUUGAGAAUGUUUAAAUGGUAACAAAUAGAAGUUAAAAGAGGGUGAUAAAUUUGAUUGCAAUUAGCAGCAGUAACCAAAGUAUAGAGAUUAUUAGAACUCAUUACUGCCUUUUUCCAAAGUGAAGAAAGAAAGGUAGGCAUGUAGGAGGGAAGGAAGG